GUGUAUCCAUUUCCUGCUGGACAAAGAUGGCAGGCAUGGGGAGGCUAUCAAGAGGCAGCUUAUGGCUCCCCGAAUCUCUUCUCCAACACCUGACUCUGGAGAAAGUUAAAGAAAUUUGAAAUCUGCCCUGACACUUGCCAGAUGGCAAAGCUUAAAACUGCAUCCUCUAAACAGAAAUAGCAGAAAGACAUGUCUCAAGUCACAUUUUCCUCCAUCCCCAACACAAAUGCUGUAUCAAGAUUAGUGUUCCCUGCGGACUGGAUACACAUUCAGUCUUCCCAGGUGGAGAGUCCUAAGUACUUUCUGGUCAGCAUGUACUGUCUCAAACCUGCACUGGAAGCAGAGCAAGCCAAAUAACCCCUUUGUAUCCACGCCUCACUCCAAGUGCCUGGAAUGUACAUCCCUCCCCCUGCCCCAAGCUUUACAUCAUAACUGCUUUGUUAGCAGUUAGCAGGUUUUACACUUCAUUAUUUACCACGUUGAGAAAACGCAAAUGAGUGUCACUGGGUCUGAAAUUCCCUGGAAAAACAUUAAGUGAGCAACCCAAGCCAAGGAAAGCUUUUCACACCUAAGGUAACUCUUCAACAACUUCCUCAAUGCAUCUAAAUAUGUUCUGAUCUGAGAGCUCAUGUAAGCCAUUUCCUGGUGUCUACUGGUUUUUGUCAAAAUCUUUGUGGUAUUUUGGGGUAAAAUUAACUCCUAGGCAGAAGGAUCAUAUAUGAUGAACAACAUCUUUGGCUGGAGGGUGAAAGAGAUAGUUAAUGACUUUUGCACCCAGUCCUCAAAAGGCUGAAAACAAUCUAUCGGCCCAAAAUACUCCAGCUGUGAGAGCAUAUUGGAAAGUGAGAGGUGGAAAGGUAGGCUCCAAAACAAAGAUCACAGAGCAAAAUAAUAUAGAGUAACAGAAAUGAUGUAGGAGUUCUAUUUGUUAGCAUGUGUUAAGAUUUCUAUCGAAGCUGAUGUUAAUAAUUGACAUAAAGUACAGUGAAAGUUAGAUAACAGCAGGAACGUUCAGGCCAGGAACCCAUUUGAUUUUCCAGUGGUGUGAGGCACUGGGUAAUGGGGGAAUGCAUAAGCCUCAUUUCAGAGAUGAUCUUGCUUAAUGGCAUUAACAUCUCCAAGAAUUUUGUACUGUCCAGAGAGAGAUUUCUGGUUGUGGCAUAUAAUAGGAGGUGUUCUUUUUAGAACAGAGAGUAGAAAAGAAAUGGGAUGUGAAUUUUGUGUUCGUGAAAGUGAGGAAUUAAUAGUAAUGCUUUGAGUCAGGUGUAAGCUGUGUGGGUAUUGUGCAAGCCUCAUCACAGCACUGCCAUCUCGCCCCAAUUUAUGAGCUGGAACACAAGAACUUUUACUGCUUCUAGCUGGGACUGCAAGUUGUACCAAACUGUAUAGUGAUUUUAUAAAUACAGGGAAAGACGUAAAAGCUCUAUAUCUCUUUUGCUCUUUAAGCUAGCUCAGAUUAAGCUGGACAAACUCUGAUGAUAUACUGUACCUCCUAAGUCUGUAGAUCACAUUGCCAGCAUUUGAGUUCUGAGUUUAAAUGCAAUCUCUCUGUAGGCCCCGAGUUCAGAAUGCACAUGAAAGCCAAGAUUUGCUCUCUGGCACAAGCACGUACAAGUAAAUGAAUAGGAUCAACUUUAGCCAGGGUAUGAUCUGCACUUUGAUGGGAGCAGGCCAUUUUUUAAUUUCCACCAUCAUAACUGAUAGGAGUAACAUAUGUGAUAACCUCACAGAGUCUCAGAAAACCCCAGCCAGCACAGGCUGCUGUGCCCAGUGUCCUCCAUGCUCAGCUUGCCAGGAGCAAGAAUUCAUCAGAGAGAAGGAAUUCAGACUUUCACUUCAGUCUUUACACUUCCAGAAUGUCUGCACUCUGGUUUACGCCACCAAAAGCCGGCUUAAACCAGAGGUGAAUCUACGACAUGAUAUAACAAAAGGCUAUUGCUCUCAUUGUCCUGUACAUUCUUAUCUUACAGUUUGCAAUUAAUCACCACCCUGGAAAUCAAACACUAAGGUAUUUGUACAUUCUCUUUGAAAAUAUAUUCCAAUUUCCUUUUAGCUAAACUGCUCUGUCCUUUGCCACACCUGCUCAAUGCAUCACUCUGCAUAGCACACUCUGUACAUACCUGCAGAGUCCAGUGACUCACGCUAGACAGGGAGCACAAUCACCAUGGCAAGAAUAUAAGAUCCAAAUGUGUGAUGCAAUUAAAGUACAGAGGGAUGUCUGUUCAUUAGCAAAUAAUCACAUCUGCAUGUUGAUGACAGUUACAGAACCUAGUGCUCAGUCAUGAUGUGCUGUUCUCAGUAACAUGAAAUUCUCUGGUGGUGUGAAUCUCACCAAGUCUCAUACAGUGUGACCAUGUGAGUUACCUGAGCACUACCCAGUUUGUACUAAGCACCAAAGUUAUGUGCAGGAGAACUGUCCUCAAAUAUUUAGUAUGCAUGCUUUUUUGAUGUGUAUUAGCUUAGCCUUUGUGAUUAUUUAAAAUUAGCUUAUUCUCUUCUAUCUGGAGAUACAAUUUUGAUCUUUGCAGAGAAAGUAAUUGGGAGAGGCUGAUUUUAUGGGAACAGCAGUACAGAUAAAUUCAUUGGUCUCCUAUCUAACAUUUACAGGGAGGGUUUCCUUGGUUUCUGCAUAGCUCAUAGGUACAGUCAAAGGUGCAGCUGCUUUCUCUGUGCUGCCAUUAAGCCCAGAGUAUUCAUCAGGUAUUAGAACAAAUAUCUCAGGUUCCCAAAGCCAUCCGUGUCCCUCAUAGACCCUGCAAGGGUCUACUCUAUUAUGUCCCUCAGUUCAUAAUGGCUUUGUAGCUUUUCUUUUUUUCUUUUUUCUUUUUUUAGUGCCGCAAUGUUUUUGCAAUUCUGUGAUGUAUUUCUACUAUGAACUAGUAAGUUUUAUUUUGCAAAUACACAAGCAGAUGGCUCCGGAGAUUGUUAGGCUUCCAUGUGUCCAAAGGAUACCAUAUUAUUACCAGAAAUACUCUUUGCGUAUUUGUUUAAAAGAACAUAAUUUCUACACCAAGGAGCCCCAAACAGGCUGGAAAUGCUACUGAUAACUGCAAGUAUUAUGAAAUUCAGAAUGCAGCUGAAAACUACGUGAUGAAUAGGGAAACACUAAGUCCAUCUCACCUCCAUACACAGCUCCUUUGAGUAUCCUGUUUUGGAGAAGUAACUUGUUUUUUUCACCUAAAUAGAUAUGAAUUGUUGACACACAAGAAAUAGAAGUGUCAAAUAAGGAGAUACAGUUGGAUAACUCCAUCCUUGGGGAAUUCAUUUGGAGUCAAAACAUAGGACUCGACAGCAUGAGACUACGAAGAGGAGUGAGAAUGUGCUGAAUAUGUAUGAACAUCUGUAUUUACAGCUACCUCCUUCUCAACAAGAAAGGCUGUUGCUCAUCUUAACUCUACAUGCUGAUCUUACAGGAGGAGGAGAAGGGAUCCCUUGAAAUGCAUGCAUAGUGCAAGAUGAUAUUAGCGUUCAGAAGAAGCUCAAUACUGAGACUUAGAAGCUAACCACAUUUCCAUUUUUUUUCAGGCUAACUGUAGUCAAUCUUACUAUUUUGUUAGUAACAGGCUCUAAGCUUCCAUUCAGGCCACAGAGGUAAAAAUCUUACAUUAAAAAUCUAUCCAUAAUAAAAGCGUACAAGUCUUUCUCUUGCGCACUGAGCACAAAGACUAUUUCCCACUGUUAGCAAUUUCUGUUAUUGGUUAAUAUUGGGUCAAAGAGCAAAUUCCCUUACAAUCCUUCAACUAUAUUUAAUGAUUAUUGAGAGUAUGGAAAUGAGAGCAGAAAUGUUUUACUCUCUAUUCAACAUGAAAUCACCUUGGUUUAUGUUCCUGGAACAAUGAAUAAAAUGUCUCUGCUGCUGGCCUUCCAUAAUGUAUCAGCUUUAUCUGCUGACCUGUGCAGAAAUGUAUUAGAGAACAAUACUUCUGCUUUCAGUGCCGCAUUUACUGUAGAUCUACAUUCUUCCAGUAAAACUCCAACAAACAUAUUUAAUAUCUCAGGUCUGACUUCAACAAGGGCACUUAGCUAUUAUUGGUUCCACUAAUCUUUUCUGAAAGCAGACCUAGCAGUUGAAUUUGAUGCCAGUGCUGAAGACAUAGAAACAGAGGACCUAUGCAGGAUGAUGGAAGAGCAGGGGAAAGAUUUCCCUCUCUUAAGCUGCAGAAUGAAUCACUCUGCAACUACCAGAAGCAGUUCUUGCAUCUGAGCUCACAGCAGAGGUGGUUUCCAAGAUGGUCCUUCCAUACCAGGGCUCCUCUUUCCAUAAAUCACAGUGUCAUCAUACGCAGGAAGCAGCACGUCUUCUGUGCAAAGCUUAAUCUGGCAUUGCCAGAUGUACUCAAUUCUGUCCAACAAACAGCAUCUCACUUAUCCAGAGGAUUUUAUGAUACACCUCAAAUACUCCACUGAAAAUAGCCCAAUUCUUGGUUCUUCUUGGUGAUGAUGGCACAAGUUUCAUUGUCAGUCACAGACUAAAUGACAUGGUUGGUAGGACCCUGCAUAGGGUUGCCAGGAAGCAAAUUAAGUAAGAUGUACUACUUUCAGACAUUAAAAAUUACAGUUUCUUAUCAAAUCAAUCAUUUAUUGCUCUGUUUUAUCCUGCUUCCUUAUGAUCUGACUUUUCUCUCCUGUGGAAAUUUAUUCUGCCCCACUGAGAAGGAAGCACUGUUAGGAACAUCUACGCAGUUUAGGAAGUAGAUUUAGAUCCAUGGUACUAUUAACACAAAUAUGAAAAGCCACCAUGUUUCUAAGACAACAAAAUGGCCAGUAAUUUAAAAGCAUUAAGGAGGAUUAGCUGUGAGGCCUGGUGGCCAGAACUACUGCUUGAAUGGAGAAAGUAUUUCCCAUCAUCAUCCUCAACGGUCACAUAUUACUGAUGAUUGUUUCUAGAAAUAGAGAAAAUACUUGUUUGCUUAGCUUCAAAUAACCACUGAACAGUUAAUCAGAAGCCAGUAAUAUGAUAGGGAUUGCUGAACAAGACACAGUGAAAAAGGAAGUCAUGUGCAAUAUCUUAAGUUCAUUGCCAUUUUUCUGACUUGUGUGGUGCACUCUUUUGUAUUCCUACCUUCAUAGAGUCUCGGCCCUCCCUUAAAACUGGAAAUGUUAGUCGUAUUGGUGAGUUAGAGAAAUAUUUUUGCAAAUAUCUCAUUUAUUUUCACAUGCUUAAAAUGUAAAACAUAGCCAAAAUAAAAGAAUGAUUGAAAAAAAGUCAAUGAGCAAUAAACUCCUCUUACUUCACUACAAAAUUCUUGAAAUGCUGUCCUGUCACUUGCUUACAAAUCCAGAUGAAUGUACAUGCACAGUGACACACACAAUAGGUUUAGUCUGUGUUUGACUGUUUGCAGAUCAGUUCAAUACUGCAUGAUCUUUAUCAGUUUUAU